GGGCUCUUAGCUCAGUUGGUCAGAGCACCCGGCUCAUACCCGGAUUGUCCUGGGUUCAAGUCCCAGAGAGCCCA
rnacentral:tRNA from 1 species